UACGUAGGGUGCGAGCGUUAAUCGGAAUUACUGGGCGUAAAGCGUGCGCAGGCGGUUUUGUAAGCCAGAUGUGAAAUCCCCGGGCUUAACCUGGGAAUGGCAUUUGGGACUGCAAGGCUGGAGUACGGCAGAGGAGACUGGAAUUCCUGGUGUAGCAGUGAAAUGCGUAGAGAUCAGGAGGAAUCCGAUGGCGAAGGCAGGUCUCUGGGCUGAUACUGACGCUCAUGCACGAAAGGCGUGGGGAGCAAACAGGAU
rnacentral:rRNA from 1 species